UGCGUGACAGGCAAGCAUUACUGCCUGAGUUCCGCCUCCUGUCAGAUCAACGGUGGCAUUACAUUCUCAAAGGAGUGCGAACCCUAUGGUGAACUGCACGUGCAAGGGAUCUAGGUUGUGUGUUCCCUCUUGG